rnacentral:lncRNA from 10 species
UGUGAUCAAUAGCAGUUUUAUUACUUGGCAUAUGUAAGAAGGAUACUGGGAAUGUUCUCUAAAGCAGUGUCUCCCCAGGGGAAAGUGACAGGAGGGUUUUACAGGGUGAUGGAGAGAGUGCAAAAUCACAUGUAGAGGAGGGGUCCCAGUGGCACAAACGAGUGAGUCAUUAUGCCAGAACAUAGGUGGCAUGUUAUGGCAACGAAGCUAUAGCUCCUCCUAGGGUGGAGACUUUGGCAUGGUCAAGGGAAAAGUUGACUCAGUUCAUCUAUAAAUUGCCAGGGUCUGCAAGGAGCUGGUUCAAACCAACAAGGUGACCACAUUCCAUGCAGGGUUUGGGGAAGAACAGGCUGCAGGGCAGAAGGCUGUAAAACAGGCUGAUUGCUCGAGUUGAUUGAAUUCCUUUUAUCCCUGGAGACCCUGAUAUGGUUUGGAUCUGUGUUGUAAACCCUAGUAUUGGAGGAGGGGCCUGGUGGGAGGUGAAUGGAUCAUGGGGCGGAGUUCUCAUGAAUGGUUUAGCACCAUCCCCGCUUGGUACUGUAUAGUGAGUGAUUUCUAAUGAGAUCUGUUCAUUUAAAGUCUGUGGCACCUCCCCCGCCCCUUCCUCCUGCUCCAGCCAUGCAAGACGUAUUUGUCCAGAAUGGUCUGAGCAGGGAAGAAAACAUUUCUUUUUUUUGUUUAUGGCUUUACUUUCAAGUUUUAAAUUAG